UACGUAGGGGGCUAGCGUUGUCCGGAAUCAUUGGGCGUAAAGAGCGUGUAGGCGGCCAAACAGGUCAGCUGUGAAAACUCGAGGCUCAACCUCGAGACGUCGGUUGAAACCGUUUGGCUAGAGUCCGGAAGAGGAGAGUGGAAUUCCCGGUGUAGCGGUGAAAUGCGCAGAUAUCGGGAAGAACACCCGUGGCGAAGGCGGCUCUCUGGGACGGUACUGACGCUGAGACGCGAAAGCGUGGGGAGCGAACAGG
rnacentral:rRNA from 1 species